ACACUCCUACGGGAGGCAGCAGUGGGGAAUAUUGGACAAUGGGCGCAAGCCUGAUCCAGCCAUGCCGCGUGAGUGAUGAAGGCCCUAGGGUUGUAAAGCUCUUUCACCGGUGAAGAUAAUGACGGUAACCGGAGAAGAAGCCCCGGCUAACUUCGUGCCAGCAGCCGCGGUAAUACGAAGGGGGCUAGCGUUGUUCGGAUUUACUGGGCGUAAAGCGCACGUAGGCGGACUAUUAAGUCAGGGGUGAAAUCCCGGGGCUCAACCCCGGAACUGCCUUUGAUACUGGUAGUCUUGAGUUCGAGAGAGGUGAGUGGAAUUCCGAGUGUAGAGGUGAAAUUCGUAGAUAUUCGGAGGAACACCAGUGGUGAAGGCGGCUCACUGGCUCGAUACUGACGCUGAGGUGCGAAAGCGUGGGGAGCAAACAGGAUUAGAAACCCUGGUAGUCCCA
rnacentral:rRNA from 1 species